UACGUAGGGUGCAAGCGUUAAUCGGAAUUACUGGGCGUAAAGCGCGCGCAGGCGGUUCCUUAAGUCUGAUGUGAAAGCCCACGGCUCAACCGUGGAGGGUCAUUGGAAACUGGGGAACUUGAGUGCAGGAGAGAAGAGUGGAAUUCCACGUGUAGCGGUGAAAUGCGCAGAUAUCAGGAGGAACACCAGUGGCGAAGGCGGCUUCCUGGCCUGUUCUUGACGCUGAGGCGCGAAAGCUAGGGGAGCAAACGGG
rnacentral:rRNA from 1 species